GUGAUGUGUUCAGAGACAGGAACAAACCCCAUACGUUUUCUUUUCUCUUUCAGCCUUCCGCACGGGGGCAGGUUAAGCUGCGGUCGCUGGUGGGAGCAGAGAAGAGAAGCAGAGAAGCUCCCUUGACCUUCAUGUACACUCGCUUUCCCAGAGACCAAAGGAGAUGCUCUGCAGCCCAGAAGUGCAGCCCUCAGCCCAUCCUCACUUAGGACACAAACUCCUGCAGCAACAUGUUGGCCGAGUUGGUGAUAAACAUCAAACAGAGGCUUUUACAGGGAUCCUGGGGGGUGAUCUGUAUUGAGCUCAAUGACCUUUCCCUAUGUCCCCCGACCAUGCCGGCGCUCUGGAGAUGAGCAGCCUUCAAGACUCGGGUCUCCACGUGGAUUAUUCCGUGACGACACAUCAGGCGUCAAGCAUCGUCCUAAGCACUUACCAAAUAGAUGUCAACGUCGUUCCCACUUUGCAGACGGGUAGGCCGAGGCACAGGGGAGGCGGUACCUUCACAGCCGAGGUCACUGGGGACGCACGGUGGAAUGCCAGGGUCUCACCUGGACUCACCCGGACCCCGUGCCCUGGGCCCUGCUGUGCGGUCGUGUGCUCUUCCUUCGAAGAACAGGCUUGCGCAGAAGGAGCACUGAGCUUGGGGGGUCGGGGGGGUGCUGGUCUGAGGAAAAGGGCCUCGGUGGGCCAAAGUACAACUCCCACUGUCCCGGAGAGGCGGAGGAAUGGCCAAUCCCCAAGUAGCAUGUAAAUGCACAUACGGUGAGGUCUUUUUUUUUUUUUUAAUUUUUUUAAAUUUUAUUUAUUUAUGAUAGUCACAUAGAGAGAGAGAGAGAGGCAGAGACAUAGGCAGAGGGAGAAGCAGGCUCCAUGCAGCGGGAGCCUGACGUGGGAUUCGAUCCCGGGUCUCUAGGAUCUCGCCCUGGGCCAAAGGCAGGCGCCAAACCACUGCGCCACCCAGGGAUCCCCGGUGAGGUCUUGACCAUAGAAUAGAACAUGCACAAGGCGGGAGUAGGAAUCCUACUUAGGUCUCUGGUCCCUCUGAAUCCCGAGGAGGCACAAUAAUGCGAACGCCAGAGUCGGCUGCGGCUUGGUUUCCGCAGACUGUCCACAGGGCAGGCAGGGGCCUCUGUUCUCACUUGUCCCGUGGGCAGCUGGCUUCACGGCCGGCUUUACGGAAGCAGGUGGGGCCCACGGCCAACAGCAUGAGAAUCCUGGAAGCAGUGGGUGAAAAUCUCGUCAAGCGGGUGCUGUUCAAUGCUUUCUCGCGACUGGUGCAGCCCGACGAUGAGGCAGCCGCAGACCCCGUUCACCAGGCCCUCGGAGGCCACACGGGGAGAAUGCUGGGCUGCAUUAACAUCCAUUAGCCAACAUCGCAUGCAAUCAAUAGGACAUCCCUGGCUCUUUCUCUACCUCGAAGGUCCCGUCCGGCCGUUUCAGACACCAGUUCAUAAUGACCACGAGCUCUCGCAGCACACAGUGGGCGCUCAAUACAUGUUUGCCAAAUGAAUUGUGCUUAUUAUACCAUUCAGAAGGAUGCUUUAUUGAUUGGCCCAUCUUCAGGAAGGAAGCAGGGUGAGCAGCUUAUUAACGGCAGCACAAUAUCUGAAGAAAUGUCUGUCUCCCUUUAGGCCUGGUCUCAAAAUUUUCGCUGCAAAUAAUGCACCUAUUCAAACCCGCGGCAAGUUCGCGCGGCGGCUUCUCCCAGCGUGAUGGAAACGGAAAUCGUUCGCGCACACCCUACAGACUCUCAGCUUGUUUACGAGUCCGUGUUCUUGCCGUAUUUCUAAAUUGGGUCUCGAACAAACAGCGUGAGGAAGAGGCUUCUUGCACUUCCUAGAGCUUCCGCCGGGGGUCCUGUGCUCAGAGCCCACCUCUGGGCCCCCGGGACGCCUCUGCUCGCUGCCCCUCCUGCCCACUCGGCCUCCCCCAACACAUCUGCCCUGUUCACGGGCCAUAUUCACGCAGCCACGCGCUUUGCUCCUGGCUUGUCUAUGCAUCGCCGAUGAUGUGUCGUUGGCCAAUCCUCUCCCACUGCUUGAUUUCAUACAACCUAUAAGCUAAGAAUAUAUAUAUUUUUUAAGAUUUAUAUAUGUAUUUAUUUGAGAGAGAGAGACACAGAGAGAGCGGGGAGGGGGCAGAGGGAGAGGGAGAGAGGAUCCUCACUCAGACUCCCCACCGACCCACAGAGUUCUACACACCCACGCCCCUAGCCCCUGGCUCCGGCACACACUUUUCCCUAUUAGCAUCUUACAUUUGCCUGGUACAUUUUCUAUAACUAUGACCUCGCCUCGAUCUGUUAUUACUAACCGGAAUCCACGGGUUGCUUGGAGGUUGACCCUCUGUGUUGUAGGUUGUACAAAUUUGGACAAACACCUGACAUGGACCUACUUUUGCAGCUUCGUACAGAAGGCUUUUGCAGCCCCCCAGUCCCCUGUGGCUUCAUUUAUUCAAGGAACCAGAAGGGACGUAUUUCUUCAUGGCAUGUAAAAACGAUGCGAAAUUCAAACUGCAGUGUCCAUGAAUAAAGCUGUGUCGGGACCCA
rnacentral:lncRNA from 12 species